UACAAACUAUAAACUCAACACGUAUACGUAUAACAAAACAUGUUUCGGUAGGCUAUUGUUAACAACAAAAUGCAUCCUUUGUGACACAAUGAUGGUUUUAACGAACGGACUGUUGCCUAGCGGCAGCUUUGUAAUUUUUGCGACUCUCCUGAUAGCGCAAAGUCUAUCCUGUCCAAAACACUGCGAAACGUGCAUUAACGAUAAUACAUGUGAACGAUGCGUAGACGGAUACUACAACGGUCACCGGUAUGACGAUCAAUUGUAUCCUGAAUUCAAAAAUUGCGGUCUUAGGUGCAACGAGGAUUGUAAAGCUUGCACUUCAUAUAAAACCUGUACUAAAUGUAAGCCUGGAUUUUGCAUCGAUAUAGAGAAAGAACAUGUCAAAUUCGAUGCAAUGAUAUACAUUGUGAAUCAUGUUCAUCAUGUGACGUUUGCACGAAAUGUCAUAUUUGGUAUUAUGGUAAAACUUGUGAGGAGAAUUGCGAAUAUGGCUGUGAAGAUGGACGUUGUGAUAUGAAAAACGCUUAUUGUACUUGUCGUCAAAACUUUCAAGGUCAUAGAUGUGACAAAUGCGUUUAUGGUAAAUAUGGUUACAACUGUAACAACAAUUGUCCAAAAGGCUGUCAGGCUAACUUUUGUGACAAGCAAAGUGGAGCCUGUUUAAUGGGUUGUAAACCAGGGUUUAAAGCUCCCCACUGUGACUCAUGCCUUGAUGGACUCUAUUAUCAUGAUUCUACGUGUAAAAUUUGCCCCAACACCUGUUUGAAAUGCACAUCCUCAAACCAUUGUUCAUUGUGUAAGCCAAGAUCUUGGGGAAAUAAGUGUCAGAAUACCUGUCCUCAGACUUGUAAAUCAUGUGUUUCCGACACGAUAUGCCAAGAAUGCAUUCAAGGAUAUUACGGUCGAACCUGUAACGUUAUAUGUCCCGGAGGCUGUGAAGGCAAUAUCUGUAGUAAGGAUGACGGUCUCUGUCAGAAAUGCAAACCUGGAUAUAAUGGACAACAUUGUAACAUUUGUGACGCUGGAUUUUGGGGACAGCAUUGUAAUACGUCUUGUAGUCGAGGCUGUUUAACUGAUAGAUGCUAUAAAGAUACUGGCGUAUGUCCCAACGGGUGCAAAUCUGAAUUUACCGGAGAGAAGUGUGAUAGCUGUGUGAAUGGAUUUCAUGGAAAGGAAUGUUUGAAAUGCCCAAGUAAAUGUGUAAGUUGUACUUCAAAUACUCAGUGUAAUCAUUGUUUGCCGGGACAUUGGGGAGCUGAAUGUGAACAUAAUUGCUUACCAUAUUGUAAAGAAUGCAAGUCUAACAAUGAUUGUUCACAUUGUGAGAAAGGAUAUUUUGGACUUACGUGCUCGAUGAGAUGUCCACCAAAUUGCUAUCAAAAAACCUGUCAAGAAAAUGGCUCAUGUACCAAGUGCAUGGAAGGGUUUUAUGGAGUACGGUGUGAAUCUAGAUGCCCUGAAACAUGUGCAACUAGUACUUGUAGAAUUGACGGUAACUGUAUUGCAUGUGCAGGAGGAUACUUUGGAGUAAAAUGCUCGAAUGUUUGCUCUCCUAAUUGUAAAGAGAAAUGUUUAAGAACAAAUGGUCAUUGUCGAUCGUGUAUUGAUGGAUAUUUUGGCGAUCUUUGUGAUAGAAACUGCCCCGAGAACUGUUCAAGCUGCUUAUCGGCGACAAAAUGCUUAAAUUGCAAAACAGGAUUCAAAGGUAACAUUUGUGAAAAUGAAUGUUCUAACUGCAAAUAUGGAACUAAAUGUAGACAACAUGAUGGUUACUGUGAAGAGGACUGCGCCGACGGUUUAUACGACACAAUGUGUGAUAAAACGUGUUUGAAGGAAUGUAAAACGUGUGCCAGAAGUUCACGCUUUAGAUGUUCGUCAUGCAUUCACGGAAAAUACGGCAGGCGUUCCAUUAACGGGGAAGCAUAUCUAACAUGUAAAUUAAAUUGUAGUACGACAUGUUUAAAUAACAGCUGUAACGAAGAAAAUGGCCGAUGUCUACACGGAUGCUUUCAAGGACUUUGGGGACCUAAGUGUGACUCGCUGUGCCCAACGAACUGCAAAAAUGGAAACUGCUUUGACAACGACGGAGCAUGCUCUGAAGGCUGUAAAGAAGAAUAUUAUGGAAGAAAAUGUUCUUUGCGUUGCAAUCACAAUGAUAGUUAUUGUUCGGAAUGCUUGGCAGACGGUAACGGCCAAUAUGAAGGUUGUGUUAUGUGUACAAAGGGUUACUAUCCAACAAAUGGUCUAACUGCUCAGCUGAAACAUAAGCGAUGCGGACCUUGUUCGCCUAACUGUUCCCGUAACGAAUGCAAUACAACAAAUGGAUUUUGUCUACAUGGCUGUAUAAAUGGAUUAUGGGGAAGGAAGUGUGAAAAAUCCUGUGAUCGUAAUUGUUUAGGUUGUAGCCAAACUAACGGAGAUUGCUUGAACUGUACCGACGGAAGAUACGGUAUCAAAUGCUUAGAAAAUUGUAGUACAAACUGCGGAAGAAGAAAUGGAGUACCCAGAUGCAGUCAAAAUGAUGGCCAAUGUUUAAAUGAUUGUAGUAAGAACACAAGUUACGGUACAUACUGUGAAAACGAAUGUAACAAGAAUUGUUUAAAUGGUGAAUGCCACUGGAAAACAGGACAUUGCAACCAAGGAUGUAUUAACGGCUUCCAUGGCACGAUCUGUGAUAUGCCCUGCAACAAAAACUGUGUGAACAACACUUGUAACAGAUUAGCGGAGAUUGUAGUGUAGGAUGUCGGCCAGGAUUUGAAGGAACAACCUGCACACGAGUGACUGGUAGGAUUGGUACAGGCGUUUUCAUAGGUACAGGCAGUGCCUUGAUAGUUAUCCUGAUUGGCAUUAUUACCACGGUAAUUUGUAUCAAAUUCCAUAAAAGAAGCAGGACCAAACCAUCACUGGAAAUGAGAGAACGACAUAGAAAUAUCAAUGUUGACCAUGUUGAGGUAGAAAAUCGGGAUGAUAUGAACAGCCGACCAAAUGUGGCUGCUGGUAUAUCAAAAAUAACUUAUUGCGUUUGUUUCACUAUUGUCGUAACUUACUUAACUAAAUGACUGUAAAAUAUAAGAAACAAUUAAAUGCGUUACGUUUUGUUGUACCUAUUUUUCUGUGUGAGUUGUUCUUAGAAUCACCAUUAUGUAUGAUCAUAAUUUAGAUUGUAUCAUACACAUGUUAAUGAAAAAAAUAUAUCAGAGCUUUGUAUAAUUUUGUAUUUGCCGAACGGCAAAUGAAAGGAAUACUUCAUGAUUUAUAAACAAGUGUGCUCAUUUUUGCAGGAAGCAGCAGGGAAAGUAGAAAUGUGGACAAUAAAACUAUUGAAACAAAGGUAGAAUACGCUAGCAUUUCAAAGACUGAAAGGUUUCUAACACAAGUAGACUCAAGCGAGGAGGUGGAAAUAGAAUUGUACGAAGAGGAAAAC
rnacentral:misc_RNA from 1 species